rnacentral:rRNA from 1 species
UGGGGAAUUUGGACAACGGCGAAGCCUGAUCCAGCAAUGCCGCGUGUGUGAAGAAGGCCUUCGGGUUGUAAAGCACUUUUGUCCGGAAAGAAAUCCUUGGCUCUAAUACAGUCGGGGGAUGACGGUACCGGAAGAAUAAGCACCGGCUAACUACGUGCCAGCAGCCGCGGUAAUACGUAGGGUGCAAGCGUUAAUCGGAAUUACUGGGCGUAAAGCGUGCGCAGGCGGUUUGCUAAGACCGAUGUGAAAUCCCCGGGCUCAACCUGGGAACUGCAUUGGUGACUGGCAGGCUAGAGUAUGGCAGAGGGGGGUAGAAUUCCACGUGUAGCAGUGAAAUGCGUAGAGAUGUGGAGGAAUACCGAUGGCGAAGGCAGCCCCCUGGGCCAAUACUGACGCUCAUGCACGAAAGCGUGGGGAGCAAACAGGAUUAGAUACCCUGGUAGUCCACGCCCUAAACGAUGUCAACUAGUUGUGGGAUUCAUUCCUUAGUAACGUAGCUAACGCGUGAAGUUGACCGCCUGGGGAGUACGGUCGCAAGAUUAAAACUCAAAGGAAUUGACGGGGUCAUAGCUGUUUCCU